ACGAACGCUGGCGGCGUGCUUAACACAUGCAAGUCGAACGGAAAGGCCUCUUUAGGGGGGUACUCGAGUGGCGAACGGGUGAGUAACACGUGAGUAACCUGCCCUUGACUUUGGGAUAACUUCAGGAAACUGGGGCUAAUACCGGAUAGGAGCUCCUGCUGCAUGGUGGGGGUUGGAAAGUUUCGGCGGUUGGGGAUGGACUCGCGGCUUAUCAGCUUGUUGGUGGGGUAGUGGCUUACCAAGGCUUUGACGGGUAGCCGGCCUGAGAGGGUGACCGGCCACAUUGGGACUGAGAUACGGCCCAGACUCCUACGGGAGGCAGCAGUGGGGAAUAUUGCACAAUGGGUGGAAGCCUGAUGCAGCAACGCCGUGUGCGGGAUGACGGCCUUCGGGUUGUAAACCGCUUUCGCUCAUGACGAAGCUUUGUGUGACGGUAGUGGGUAAAGAAGCACCGGCUAACUACGUG
rnacentral:rRNA from 1 species